AAGAAAGUGACUGCCGCCCCGCACAGGGGCAACGCUAAUAGACCAAAAGCAAAACGGGAUCCGGCGAACAACAACAACAAAAAGCCCUUACGCCGCCGCAGUCGCCG
rnacentral:sRNA from 1 species